AGAUUUCUUCUCUGUGGUGUGUUUCCUAUGAACCUAGAUCUUUGGCUAUAGAAAAAUGUUUUGGAAAAAGAAAAAUGCUGAAUAACAUACUGUAGUGAUCCUUUUUUCUCCUAACAAGGUGAAUGGAGACAGCAGUAAAGGUCUUGCAUUGUAUACUGAAGCAGGCUUUCUCCAAUGGGCGUGAUCUCUCUCAGUAUCCCAAAUAUCAUUUCACUGUUUUCUUCUGAAGUGUGUAGUAGGCUUAUAUCUUCUGGAACAUUAUUCUGCCUAAAGAGUAAAUUUUCAAAAUUCAUGUAUACCAGAUACAGUAUAGAAGCAAAAGGCCACAAGUUUCUGAUUUUGGGAGUAUUCUGAAAUCUCUCUUCAGUCUGUCAAUGUUUGUUUUGAUGUGUGGACUUCAGAAUGAGACAACAGGAAUGCUGUAUGUACAGAAGCAAGCCUGAAAAAAAUGAAAUAGGAAAUUGCAUUUCCUUCACCACAAGAUUUAAGAAGUUGGUAAGAUUCACUAAUGGAAAAAGUGAAAAUUACUUUAACUUUUUUAGCUUUAAAUAAAGCUGUUUCUC